rnacentral:lncRNA from 1 species
AUCACACUAGUCCAAGCUUCCUGUGUCUCCGUGCUGUUCCAGUACUUGUCGGAGAUUUCGGCUGAACUCCGACCGGCGUGAGCGAACUGUGGUUGUGGUUGAUUCAGUAUUUGUUCUGGACCGCUUGCGCCCACGCGUAUAACCUUAACCCUCAGGAACACCUCGUCUAGGUCAGCCCGUAUAGCCAUAAACAGGGUCAUGUCUUCAUCGUUCUGGAUUUCUAUUGGAUAUGCCCUUUGCCA